rnacentral:rRNA from 1 species
GACGAACGCUGGCGGCGUGCUUAACACAUGCAAGUCGAACGGAAAGGCCCUGCUUUUGUGGGGUGCUCGAGUGGCGAACGGGUGAGUAACACGUGAGUAACCUGCCCUUGACUUUGGGAUAACUUCAGGAAACUGGGUCUAAUACCGGAUAGGAGCUCCUGCUGCAUGGUGGGGGUUGGAAAGUUUCGGCGGUUGGGGAUGGACUCGCGCCUUAUCAGCUUGUUGGUGGGGUAGUGGCUUACCAAGGCUUGACGGGUAGCCGGACUGAGAGGGUGACCGGCCACAUUGGGACUGAGAUACGGCCAAGACUCAUACGGGAGGCAGCAGUGGGGAAUAUUGAAAAAUGGGCGGAAGCCUGAUGCAGAAACGCCGCGUGCGGGAUGACGGCCUUCGGGUUGUAAACCGCUUUCGCCUGUGACGAAGAGUGAGUGACGGUAAUGGGUAAAGAAGCACCGGCUAACUACGUG